UGGCUCCCGCACAGACACACCCCCGGGGUGUCGGUGCCGCAGCCCUCAGCCCCUCCCCGGGUAGCCAGCAGCGCCCGGUCGGCCGCUGGCCGCAGGAGAAAGUAAACAACACCCCAAGUGUCCGGGAACAAAGGCAAGUUGUCUUUCUACGGUGCCGCAGCCGUGUGCCUCUUCUGAAGAAUAAGAGCUAUUAUUAUUCUUUAUGUCUUAUCCUUUUUUUUUUUUAAAAAAAAAACCAAGUUUCCUUCUAAGGGAAAUAAACACCAAAGUGAUCCUCCGACUGUGAAAAACCAGACCUCUGGCUGCCUGGCUCCCUAGGAAUCAAGAAGACGCACAGACUGAAAAUCAAGGGAGGAAGGAACAAGAUCAAGGAUGAGGAUUAGCAUCUGCAAAUUGAACUCUAUCUAAUUUGCAUGUUUAUUUCUUAGAAUUGUAAUUAAAUUUGUGUAAUAAAUGUUUUCCAUUUCAUUUGUACACUUAAAACUUGGGUGACUGACAUGCAGUUAAGUGAAUUUCCUUUUUUUAAAAGCAAAUGUAGAUUAUUCAAUAAAGCAGCAAACCAAUAUUAAACAUAAUUAGAACUAAU
rnacentral:lncRNA from 10 species